GUCCGGACUCUAAUUCAAAUUGCAUUCAUCCGAUCUUCACCAAACUUGGUCAGCAGUUGCAUCUAGUUGAUAUCUAGGCCAAGUUCGAAUAUGGGUCAUGCCGGGUCAAAAACUAGGUCAUAGGGUCAAUUAGUGCAUUUUCAACGGCGCCACUUUGUCCGGACUCUAAUUCAAAUUGUAUUCAUCCGAUCUUCACCAAACUUGGUCAGUAGUUGCAUCUAGUUGAUAUCUAGGUCAAGUCCGAAUAUGGGUCAUGCUGGGUCAAAAACUAGGUCAAAGGGUCAAUUAGUGCAUUUUACUUUGUCCGGACUCUAAUUCAAAUUGUAUAAAUCUUAUCUUCACCAAACUUGGUCAGUAGUUGCAUCUAGUUGAUAUCUAGGCCAAGUUCGAAUAUGGGUCAUGCCAGGUAAAAAACUAGGUCAUAGGGUCAAUAAGUCCAUUUUCAACAGCGCCACUUUGUCCGGACUCUUAUUCAAAUUGUAUUCAUCCGAUCUUUACCAAACUUGGUCAGUAGUUGCAUCUAGUUGAUAUCUAGGUCAAGUUCGAAUAUGGGUCAUGUCGGGUCAAGAACUAGGUCAUAGGGUCAAUUAGUGCAUUUUCAACGGCGCCACUUUGUCCGGACUCUAAUCAAAUUGUAUUCAUCCGAAACUUUUAAACAACUUUUUAUCCUGCGUCAAAGUGGUAUGGGGGUAUAAGUCACAUUCAGUGACAAAGCUCUAGUUCAAGUUGAAUUCACCAAACUUGGUCAGAGGUAGUAUAUAGAUUAUAUAUCAGUCAGGUCUGAUUGGAGACAUGCAACCGAUUAACACAUGCAAUAUUUUUAUGCAAUAUUUUUAUCCAGUUUUAUUUUGCGAUAUUUUCAUCGGGUUUAUUUUUUUCGCGAUUUUUGAAACGAGUUAUUUUUAACAACAUGUUUAUUGGUAAGUUUCAUU